CCUACGGGUGGCAGCAGUGAGGAAUAUUGGUCAAUGGGCGGAAGCCUGAACCAGCCAAGUCGCGUGAGGGAAUAAGGCCCUACGGGUCGUAAACCUCUUUUGCCGGGGAGCAAGGGCGGGGACGUGUCCCGGCCCGGAGAGUACCCGGAGAAAAAGCAGCGGCUAACUCCGUGCCUGCAGCCGCGGUAAUACGGGGGAUGCGAGCGUUAUCCGGUUUUAUUGGGUUUAAAGGGUGCGUAGGCGAGCUUUUAAGUCAGCGGUAAAAAUUCGGGGCUCAACCCGGUGCGGCCGUUGAAACUGGGGGCCUUGAGUGGGCGAGAAGAAGGCGGAAUGCGUGGUGUAGCGGUGAAAUGCGUAGAUAUCACGCAGAACCCCGGUGGCGAAGGCAGCCUGCCGGCGCCCGACUGACGCUGAGGCACGAAAGUGCGGGGAUCGAACAGGAUUAGAUACCCUUGUAGUC
rnacentral:rRNA from 1 species